GCACGGUGGUUCAGUGGUAGAAUUCUCACAUUCCAUGUGGGAGACCCAGGUUCGAUUUCUGGCCAAUGUA
rnacentral:tRNA from 1 species